rnacentral:sRNA from 1 species
GCUGCGGAGUGUCAAACAAACUGUAGUAGGGUAACCGAGGCGGGACACGUUGAAACAGCAA